rnacentral:rRNA from 1 species
ACAGAGGUGCAAGCGUUGUUCGGAAUCACUGGGCGUAAAGGGCGUGUAGGCGGUGGAGUGUGUCCGGCGUGAAAGCCCUCGGCUUAACCGAGGAAGAGCACCGGAUCCUACUUCGCUAGAGUGUGAGAGAGGAUGGCGGAAUUCUCGGUGUAGAGGUGAAAUUCGUAGAUAUUCGGAAGAACACCAGUGGCGAAGGCGGCUCACUGGACUGGUAUUGACGCUGAGGUGCGAAAGCGUGGGGAGCAAACAGGA